rnacentral:rRNA from 1 species
CGUGUAGGCGGUGCGGUAAGUUGGGCGUGAAAUCCCCGAGCUUAACUCGGGUGGGCCGUUCAAGACUGCCGUGCUAGGGUGCGGGAGAGGGCAGUGGAAUUUCCGGUGUAGCGGUGAAAUGCGUAGAUAUCGGGAGGAACACCUGCGGCGAAGGCGGCUGCCUGGACCGUAACCGACGCUGAGGCGCGAAAGCUAGGGGAGCAAACAGGAUUAGAUACCCUGGUAGUCCUAGCCCUAAACGAUGAGCACUGGGUGUGGCCCCUCACGGGGCCGUACCGAAGCUAACGCAUUAAGUGCUCCGCCUGGGGAGUACGGUCGCAAGGCUGAA